rnacentral:tRNA from 1 species
GCCUGGGUGGCUCAGUCAGUUGAGCAUCAGACUUCAGCCCAGGUCAUGAUCCUGUGGUUCGUGGGUUUGAGCCCCAUGUCAGGCU